GCACCGGUGGUGUACGGAACACACACCAGUAGCAUCGCUCUCUUUGCCGUUGCAACGGUGAGAUGGGGUUCGAUUCCCCGCCGGUGCA